UACGUAGGGCGCAAGCGUUAUCCGGAAUUAUUGGGCGUAAAGAGCUCGUAGGCGGUUUGUCGCGUCUGCCGUGAAAGUCCGGGGCUCAACUCCGGAUCUGCGGUGGGUACGGGCAGACUAGAGUGAUGUAGGGGAGACUGGAAUUCCUGGUGUAGCGGUGAAAUGCGCAGAUAUCAGGAGGAACACCGGUGGCGAAGGCGGUUCUCUGGGCAUGACCUGACGCUGAGGAGCGAAAGUGUGGGGAGCGAGCAGG
rnacentral:rRNA from 1 species